rnacentral:piRNA from 1 species
UGACCACUGGACAAAUGGACUACGGAUCU